GAGAUUUUGUUUGGGUGUAGUAAGAGAACGGGGAGGAAUUGUAGGAGUGGCAGGUUUGGAUUUUUUGUGGAGAGAAUUGGAGAUCAGGUAUUUGAUUUAAUGCCCAAGAGAGGUUGUAUAGAUUAUAACGAUUUGGUUAAUAAAGCGACGGUGCUUCUGAGGCAAUGCCGAAGUGUGUUGCAGAGUGUAGAUCCCGUGUCUUGUUUGCGGACUCUAGAGACUAGUCAUUCUGCAGAAAUUAUUGGUUCCGAGAAUUCUGACAGAAACGAGGGUGAGAUCGAUGGGAAUAGGAACGAACAGAGGCCUCUAGGCUCAAGUACAAAUGUUGAAACCAGUGAUUCAGUUGAAAUUAUUGGUUUCAAGAACUCUGACCGAAAUAACGGUAUACUUGAUGAAGAUGGGGUUGAAGAAAGGCCUCUGGGCUCAAAAACAAAUUUUGAACAAGAUAAGCGUAAUGGAUGCAAUGGUGAUUUUCAGGAAAAUGGAGAAAUUGGUUUCUUUUCUGAUGGGAGGAUGUUCUUUCUUAAUCGCCUUGAAAACAUGAGUCCUAGCCUUCCUGGUGAACCCAAGACGGUUACCUUACCGGAACUUCUGCAUCCCGUUGGAAGCCUUGUCCGAGUUUUUAUGGCGACUUUCACAAGUGAUGUCUCUUGGUUCUUGUCGUACUGCCAACUGCCUUACCACCUACCAAUAACAAUUGCUUGCCAUGGUGCACAAAGAUGUUGGAGUGCUAACCAUGAAAGCAGAACUGCGGCACCUUAUUCUAACUAUCCAAAUCUUUUGCUUGUGUAUCCGCCAUUUCCUGAGGUAAUAGCCUUUGGGAAAGACCGCAAGAAACAAGGUGUUGCUUGCCACCAUCCAAAGUUGAUCGUCUUGCAAAGGAAGGAGAGCAUCCGUGUGAUUGUUACCUCUGCAAAUCUUACUCCAAAGCAGUGGAACUACGUGACAAAUACGGUAUGGUUGCAAGAUUUUCCUUCCAGAAGUUCUCCAGAUUUUUCUACACUUUUUUCAACAAUUGAAGAUUCACUUCCUGACUUUGCCCCUCAACUAGGUGGGUUUAUUGCAUCUCUUAUCUCUGAUGUACCCAGCCAAGCACAUUGGAUUGCAGAAUUGACAAAGUACGACUUUGGAGGGGCUGUUGGACAUCUGGUUGCUUCAAUACCUGGCAUGCAUGGGAAACAUAGUGGGCACUCACAGUCUACUUCCAUGAAAUAUCUUGGUUCUGCUCAAGUGUCUGUAGUUGGUCUAGGCCAUCGCUUUCAUACUGCAGCUGAUUCCAAUGGUGCACAAUUAAAGACCCUGGCUUCAUUUCUGGGAAAAUUCCAAGGAAAUGCUCGUAGCACUUUAGAAGUUUUAUUGAAAAGAAACAUCAACAUACCCGCAGACUCUAAUGCCAUGAGCGUUUUUGUUGCAGACGUGGAUGAAUUCUCUGAGGGAGAUAGCGUGCAACUUGGUUUUCUUCCUCGAGACACUGCGAGGUGGGUGUCACCUCUCCAUGAUGCUGGGUUUUUUAGUUUUUCUGCUUUUAUACAUCCUAUGGAAACUCUGGCAGCUGUAUUGGGCAGCAGCAACACUAAAGUGCCACUGCUGUUGCAUGUUUCGCAGGGUGCAAAUUUUGUUGAAAUAUCAAGAUUGAUUCAACCUGAUCAUAUAGCCCCUUUAUGUUCGCUUAUGGCAUCUAUACAAAGGCCUCUUGGCAUUUGGCGAUUACAAGAGGUGUUGUCUCAGUACAAGUGGCCUGAAAUGUUGGAGACAGACUUUAUAUACAGUUCAUCCUCAGUUGGAACCUCGGUCAAUCCACAAUUUAUAGCUGCCUUCUCAGCAGCAGCAGGGAAAAGAUCAGCUAAUCUGCCUGAAUCUGAAGAAUCUGAUCCAGAAUGGGGAUGCUGGACUACUAAUCAUGAGCUACGAAAUGCAUCAAUAAAGUUCUUAUUCCCAACAAUUGACAGAGUGAAAAGUGGCCGGCACGGAGUUCAGCCUUCUCGCUGUUUACUUUCUCUCCCAGAGAAAACAUGGCAGAGGUUGAGACCUGCGGGUAUAUUUCAUGAUGCAAUUCCUCAUCCAAGCAAUAGGCUAGGGUAUCCAAUGCAUGUCAAGGUAGCUCGGAGGCGCUUCCAGUCAAGAACAGCAGGUAUUCCACCUUUUGGCUGGAUAUAUUGUGGAUCACACAACUUCAGCCCAGCAGCUUGGGGACAAGUUCUUUUGCCUUCAUCUGAAUCAAAUAUAUUGGGCCCAAGACUGCAUAUAUGCAACUAUGAGCUCGGUGUUAUUCUAAUUGUUCCACCAUCAGAUUCAUCUAAUUGUAAUAAACACAAUAUAGAUGAUGUCAUACUGCCCUUUGUCAUGCCUGCACCAAGAUAUCAAUAUAGUGAUAAGCCAGCAACAGCACAGGCCAUGAGAGAGGCCUUGGCUGAAGCUUCUGCUCAACAGAGAGAGAUUGAUUUGGCAUCAAUAACUACUGAAGAGAUGGAUGAGGAUAUCCCGGAUGAAAACGAAGAAGAAAUGAUAGAUGAUACAUCUGUUUGUUUGGCUGAAGAGGAGGAAGAGAAAAUCUAUGUUGAGAUGCUUUGGAGCCAACUGGAGUCUUCUGGGAGCUAAGAGCUUGGAAUUCCAAACCUCUAUACACUAAAUUUGUUGAUUAUUUCAGCUCACAACAGAAAGAUAUCCUUGGAAUUUGGUUGUUUCGCUGGUGUGGUUUUGUUCCAACUCAGAUGAUGGGAAUGCUUGGGUAUUUCAAGGAAAUCGCAUAUGAUCCAGGAUAGAUUUUAUAAGGUAACAUGAAUUAAGGAGCAAUUCUUCUGUGAGGCCAUAGCCUGAACUGAACCGAGGAGCUGAUCAAUGACUAUAGAAAGAUAACAUGAAAGCUCAUAAUUCACAUGGAAUGCGAUUGGCAAGAAGAUAGUGACAUGCAACAGUCAUGUGUUUGUAUUUGUGUAGCUUUUAGUGCUGAAGCAUGUCUGGUAGUUAAAAGGCAUAACAUUGGUUUGAAUAAACCAGUAUACAGACAUGAUACCUAAUUACUUACCUUGAAUUAGAGGAACCAAAAUGAGUGAUUGGAGUUGAUGGUUAAAAUAACAGUAGCAUAGGGUUUUCCCUGUCAUGUAAUUCACUAACAUACAAUAAAUAUUGCCUCACCUACACAAAAGACCUUUGCCGUUUUAUUUAUAACAGGUGUAUGUAUCUGUGAUUCUUCCUA